UACGUAGGGGGCAAGCGUUGUCCGGAUUUAUUGGGCGUAAAGAGCGUGUAGGCGGCCAGGUAGGUCCGUUGUGAAAACUCGAGGCUCAACCUCGAGAUGUCGAUGGAAACCAUCUGGCUAGAGUCCGGAAGAGGAGAGUGGAAUUCCUGGUGUAGCGGUGAAAUGCGCAGAUAUCAGGAAGAACACCCGUGGCGAAGGCGGCUCUCUGGGACGGUACUGACGCUGAGAAGCGAAAGCGUGGGGAGCGAACAGG
rnacentral:rRNA from 1 species